rnacentral:rRNA from 1 species
GAGCACGUAGGUGGGUUUGUAAGUCAGAUGUGAAAGCCUUCUGUUCAACGGAAGAAUUGCAUCUGAAACUGCGAGUCUUGAGUGUAGGAGGGGAGAAUGGAACUUCUGGUGGAGCGGUGAAAUGCGUAGAUAUCAGAAGGAACGCCGGCGGCGAAAGCGAUUCUCUGGCCUAUUACUGACACUCAGUGUGCGAAAGCCAGGGGAGCAAACGGGAUUAGAUACCCCGGUAGUCCUAGCCGUAAACGAUGGGCACUAAGUAGAGGGG